rnacentral:rRNA from 1 species
CCCAGACUCCUACGGGAGGCAGCAGUGGGGGAUAUUGCACAAUGGGGGGAACCCUGAUGCAGCGACGCCGCGUGGGUGAAGGAGCGUUUCGGCGCGUAAAGCCCUAUCGGCAGGGAAGAAGGAGGACGGUACCUGACUAAGAAGCCCCGGCUAACUACGUGCCAGCAGCCGCGGUAAUACGUAGGGGGCAAGCGUUAUCCGGAUUUACUGGGUGUAAAGGGGGCGCAGACGGCAGCGCAAGCCAGGAGUGAAAGCCCGGGGCCCAACCCCGGGACUGCUCUUGGAACUGCGCGGCUGGAGUGCAGGAGGGGCAGGCGGAAUUCCUGGUGUAGCGGUGAAAUGCGUAGAUAUCAGGAGGAACAUCGGUGGCGAAGGCGGCCUGCUGGACUGCGACUGACGUUGAGGCCCGAAAGCGUGGGGAGCAAACAGGAUUAGAUACCCGCGUAA